GACGAACGAGGGCGGGGGGAGGAAAAAAGGAAAGUAGAAAGGAAAGGCCCUGCUUUUGUGGGGUGCUCGAGUGGCGAACGGGUGAGUAACACGUGAGUAACCUGCCCUUGACUUUGGGAUAACUUCAGGAAACUGGGGCUAAUACCGGAUAGGAGCUCCUGCUGCAUGGUGGGGGUUGGAAAGUUUCGGCGGUUGGGGAUGGACUCGCGGCUUAUCCGCUUGUUGGUGGGGUAGUGGCUUACCAAGGCUUUGACGGGUAGCCGGCCUGAGAGGGUGACCGGCCACAUUGGGACUGAGAUACGGCCCAGACUCCUACGGGAGGCAGCAGUGGGGAAUAUUGCACAAUGGGCGGAAGCCUGAUGCAGCAACGCCGCGUGCGGGAUGACGGCCUUCGGGUUGUAAACCGCUUUCGCCUGUGACGAAGCGUGAGUGACGGUAAUGGGUAAAGAAGCACCGGCUAACUACGUA
rnacentral:rRNA from 1 species